GACGAACGCUGGCGGCGUGCCUAAUACAUGCAAGUAGAACGCUGAAGGAGGAGCUUGCUUCUCCGGAUGAGUUGCGAACGGGUGAGUAACGCGUAGGUAACCUGCCUGGUAGCGGGGGAUAACUAUUGGAAACGAUAGCUAAUACCGCAUAAGAGUAGAUGUUGCAUGACAUUUGCUUAAAAGGUGCAAUUGCAUCACUACCAGAUGGACCUGCGUUGUAUUAGCUAGUUGGUGGGGUAACGGCUCACCAAGGCGACGAUACAUAGCCGACCUGAGAGGGUGAUCGGCCACACUGGGACUGAGACACGGCCCAGACUCCUACGGGAGGCAGCAGUAGGGAAUCUUCGGCAAUGGACGGAAGUCUGACCGAGCAACGCCGCGUGAGUGAAGAAGGUUUUCGGAUCGUAAAGCUCUGUUGUAAGAGAAGAACGAGUGUGAGAGUGGAAAGUUCACACUGUGACGGAUCUACC
rnacentral:rRNA from 1 species